GAUGAACGCUAGCUACAGGCUUAACACAUGCAAGUCGAGGGGAAACGGCAUUAAGUGCUUGCACUUUUUGGACGUCGACCGGCGCACGGGUGAGUAACGCGUAUCCAACCUUCCCAUGACUAAGGGAUAACCUGCCGAAAGGCAGACUAAUACCUUAUGGUCUUCACUGACGGCAUCAGAUGUGAAGUAAAGAUUUAUCGGUUAUGGAUGGGGAUGCGUCUGAUUAGUUAGUUGGCGGGGUAACGGCCCACCAAGGCAACGAUCAGUAGGGGUUCUGAGAGGAAGGUCCCCCACAUUGGAACUGAGACACGGUCCAAACUCCUACGGGAGGCAGCAGUGAGGAAUAUUGGUCAAUGGGCGAGAGCCUGAACCAGCCAAGUAGCGUGCAGGAUGACGGCCCUAUGGGUUGUAAACUGCUUUUGUAUGGGGAUAAAGUCAAUCACGUGUGAUUGUUUGCAGGUACCAUACGAAUAAGG
rnacentral:rRNA from 1 species